UACGUAGGGGGCUAGCGUUGUCCGGAAUCAUUGGGCGUAAAGCGCGCGUAGGCGGCCCGGUAAGUCCGCUGUGAAAGUCAGGGGCUCAACCCUCGAAUGCCGGUGGAUACUGUCGGGCUAGAGUGCGGAAGAGGCGAGUGGAAUUCCUGGUGUAGCGGUGAAAUGCGCAGAUAUCAGGAGGAACACCUAUUGCGAAGGCAGCUCGCUGGGACGUAACUGACGCUGAGACGCGAAAGCGUGGGGAGCAAACAGG
rnacentral:rRNA from 1 species